UACGAAGGGGCUAGCGUUGUUCGGAUUUACUGGGCGUAAAGCGCACGGUAGGCGGAUCGUUAAGUCGGGGGUGAAAUCCUGGAGCUCAACUCCAGAACUGCCUUCGAUACUGGCGAUCUCGAGUCCGGAAGAGGUGAGUGGAACUCCUAGUGUAGAGGUGGAAUUCGUAGAUAUUAGGAAGAACACCAGUGGCGAAGGCGGCUCACUGGUCCGGUACUGACGCUGAGGUGCGAAAGCGUGGGGAGCAAACAGG
rnacentral:rRNA from 1 species